rnacentral:rRNA from 1 species
ACAGGCUUAACACAUGCAAGUCGAGGGGCAUCAGGAAGAAAGCUUGCUUUCUUUGCUGGCGACCGGCGCACGGGUGAGUAACACGUAUCCAACCUGCCCUUUACUCGGGGAUAGCCUUUCGAAAGAAAGAUUAAUACCCGAUAGCAUAAUGAUUCCGCAUGGUUUCAUUAUUAAAGGAUUCCGGUAAAGGAUGGGGAUGCGUUCCAUUAGGUUGUUGGUGAGGUAACGGCCCACCAAGCCUUCGAUGGAUAGGGGUUCUGAGAGGAAGGUCCCCCACAUUGGAACUGAGACACGGUCCAAACUCCUACGGGAGGCAGCAGUGAGGAAUAUUGGUCAAUGGGCGCUAGCCUGAACCAGCCAAGUAGCGUGAAGGAUGAAGGCUCUAUGGGUCGUAAACUUCUUUUAUAUAAGAAUAAAGUGCAGUAUGUAUACUGUUUUGUAUGUAUUAUAUGAAUAAGGAUCGGCUAACUCCGUGCCAGCAGCCGCGGUAAUACGGAGGAUCCGAGCGUUAUCCGGAUUUAUUGGGUUUAAAGGGAGCGUAGGUGGACUGGUAAGUCAGUUGUGAAAGUUUGCGGCUCAACCGUAAAAUUGCAGUUGAUACUGUCAGUCUUGAGUACAGUAGAGGUGGGCGGAAUUCGUGGUGUAGCGGUGAAAUGCUUAGAUAUCACGAAGAACUCCGAUUGCGAAGGCAGCUCACUGGACUGCAACUGACACUGAUGCUCGAAAGUGUGGGUAUCAAACAGGAUUAGAUACCCUGGUAGUCCACACAGUAAACGAUGAAUACUCGCUGUUUGCGAUAUACAGUAAGCGGCCAAGCGAAAGCAUUAAGUAUUCCACCUGGGGAGUACGCCGGCAACGGUGAAACUCAAAGGAAUUGACGGGGGCCCGCACAAGCGGAGGAACAUGUGGUUUAAUUCGAUGAUACGCGAGGAACCUUACCCGGGCUUAAAUUGCAGUGGAAUGAUGUGGAAACAUGUCAGUGAGCAAUCACCGCUGUGAAGGUGCUGCAUGGUUGUCGUCAGCUCGUGCCGUGAGGUGUCGGCUUAAGUGCCAUAACGAGCGCAACCCUUAUCUUUAGUUACUAACAGGUUAUGCUGAGGACUCUAGAGAGACUGCCGUCGUAAGAUGUGAGGAAGGUGGGGAUGACGUCAAAUCAGCACGGCCCUUACGUCCGGGGCUACACACGUGUUACAAUGGGGGGGUACAGAAGGCAGCUAGCGGGUGACCGUAUGCUAAUCCCAAAAUCCUCUCUCAGUUCGGAUCGAAGUCUGCAACCCGACUUCGUGAAGCUGGAUUCGCUAGUAAUCGCGCAUCAGCCACGGCGCGGUGAAUACGUUCCCGGGCCUUGUACACACCGCCCGUCAAGCCAUGGGAGCCGGGGGUACCUGAAGUACGUAACCGCAAGGAUCGUCCUAGGGUAAAACUGGUGACUGGGGCUAAGUCAUAA